rnacentral:rRNA from 2 species
ACUAAGCGUACACGGUGGAUGCCCUGGCAGUCAGAGGCGAUGAAGGACGUGCUAAUCUGCGAUAAGCGUCGGUAAGGUGAUAUGAACCGUUAUAACCGGCGAUUUCCGAAUGGGGAAACCCAGUGUGUUUCGACACACUAUCAUUAACUGAAUCCAUAGGUUAAUGAGGCGAACCGGGGGAACUGAAACAUCUAAGUACCCCGAGGAAAAGAAAUCAACCGAGAUUCCCCCAGUAGCGGCGAGCGAACGGGGAGCAGCCCAGAGCCUGAAUCAGUAUGUGUGUUAGUGGAAGCGUCUGGAAAGGCGCGCGAUACAGGGUGACAGCCCCGUACACAAAAAUGCACAUGCUGUGAGCUCGAUGAGUAGGGCGGGACACGUGGUAUCCUGUCUGAAUAUGGGGGGACCAUCCUCCAAGGCUAAAUACUCCUGACUGACCGAUAGUGAACCAGUACCGUGAGGGAAAGGCGAAAAGAACCCCGGCGAGGGGAGUGAAAAAGAACCUGAAACCGUGUACGUACAAGCAGUGGGAGCACGCUUAGGCGUGUGACUGCGUACCUUUUGUAUAAUGGGUCAGCGACUUAUAUUCUGUAGCAAGGUUAACCGAAUAGGGGAGCCGAAGGGAAACCGAGUCUUAACUGGGCGUUAAGUUGCAGGGUAUAGACCCGAAACCCGGUGAUCUAGCCAUGGGCAGGUUGAAGGUUGGGUAACACUAACUGGAGGACCGAACCGACUAAUGUUGAAAAAUUAGCGGAUGACUUGUGGCUGGGGGUGAAAGGCCAAUCAAACCGGGAGAUAGCUGGUUCUCCCCGAAAGCUAUUUAGGUAGCGCCUCGUGAAUUCAUCUCCGGGGGUAGAGCACUGUUUCGGCAAGGGGGUCAUCCCGACUUACCAACCCGAUGCAAACUGCGAAUACCGGAGAAUGUUAUCACGGGAGACACACGGCGGGUGCUAACGUCCGUCGUGAAGAGGGAAACAACCCAGACCGCCAGCUAAGGUCCCAAAGUCAUGGUUAAGUGGGAAACGAUGUGGGAAGGCCCAGACAGCCAGGAUGUUGGCUUAGAAGCAGCCAUCAUUUAAAGAAAGCGUAAUAGCUCACUGGUCGAGUCGGCCUGCGCGGAAGAUGUAACGGGGCUAAACCAUGCACCGAAGCUGCGGCAGCGACACUAUGUGUUGUUGGGUAGGGGAGCGUUCUGUAAGCCUGUGAAGGUGUGCUGUGAGGCAUGCUGGAGGUAUCAGAAGUGCGAAUGCUGACAUAAGUAACGAUAAAGCGGGUGAAAAGCCCGCUCGCCGGAAGACCAAGGGUUCCUGUCCAACGUUAAUCGGGGCAGGGUGAGUCGACCCCUAAGGCGAGGCCGAAAGGCGUAGUCGAUGGGAAACAGGUUAAUAUUCCUGUACUUGGUGUUACUGCGAAGGGGGGACGGAGAAGGCUAUGUUGGCCGGGCGACGGUUGUCCCGGUUUAAGCGUGUAGGCUGGUUUUCCAGGCAAAUCCGGAAAAUCAAGGCUGAGGCGUGAUGACGAGGCACUACGGUGCUGAAGCAACAAAUGCCCUGCUUCCAGGAAAAGCCUCUAAGCAUCAGGUAACAUCAAAUCGUACCCCAAACCGACACAGGUGGUCAGGUAGAGAAUACCAAGGCGCUUGAGAGAACUCGGGUGAAGGAACUAGGCAAAAUGGUGCCGUAACUUCGGGAGAAGGCACGCUGAUAUGUAGGUGAAGUCCCUCGCGGAUGGAGCUGAAAUCAGUCGAAGAUACCAGCUGGCUGCAACUGUUUAUUAAAAACACAGCACUGUGCAAACACGAAAGUGGACGUAUACGGUGUGACGCCUGCCCGGUGCCGGAAGGUUAAUUGAUGGGGUUAGCCGCAAGGCGAAGCUCUUGAUCGAAGCCCCGGUAAACGGCGGCCGUAACUAUAACGGUCCUAAGGUAGCGAAAUUCCUUGUCGGGUAAGUUCCGACCUGCACGAAUGGCGUAAUGAUGGCCAGGCUGUCUCCACCCGAGACUCAGUGAAAUUGAACUCGCUGUGAAGAUGCAGUGUACCCGCGGCAAGACGGAAAGACCCCGUGAACCUUUACUAUAGCUUGACACUGAACAUUGAGCCUUGAUGUGUAGGAUAGGUGGGAGGCUUAGAAGUGUGGACGCCAGUCUGCAUGGAGCCGACCUUGAAAUACCACCCUUUAAUGUUUGAUGUUCUAACGUUGACCCGUAAUCCGGGUUGCGGACAGUGUCUGGUGGGUAGUUUGACUGGGGCGGUCUCCUCCUAAAGAGUAACGGAGGAGCACGAAGGUUGGCUAAUCCUGGUCGGACAUCAGGAGGUUAGUGCAAUGGCAUAAGCCAGCUUGACUGCGAGCGUGACGGCGCGAGCAGGUGCGAAAGCAGGUCAUAGUGAUCCGGUGGUUCUGAAUGGAAGGGCCAUCGCUCAACGGAUAAAAGGUACUCCGGGGAUAACAGGCUGAUACCGCCCAAGAGUUCAUAUCGACGGCGGUGUUUGGCACCUCGAUGUCGGCUCAUCACAUCCUGGGGCUGAAGUAGGUCCCAAGGGUAUGGCUGUUCGCCAUUUAAAGUGGUACGCGAGCUGGGUUUAGAACGUCGUGAGACAGUUCGGUCCCUAUCUGCCGUGGGCGCUGGAGAACUGAGGGGGGCUGCUCCUAGUACGAGAGGACCGGAGUGGACGCAUCACUGGUGUUCGGGUUGUCAUGCCAAUGGCACUGCCCGGUAGCUAAAUGCGGAAGAGAUAAGUGCUGAAAGCAUCUAAGCACGAAACUUGCCCCGAGAUGAGUUCUCCCUGACUCCUUGAGAGUCCUGAAGGAACGUUGAAGACGACGACGUUGAUAGGCCGGGUGUGUAAGCGCAGCGAUGCGUUGAGCUAACCGGUACUAAUGAACCGUGAGGCUUAACC